UCACAUGUGGUCUAGUGGUUGCGAUUCCUGGCUUUUACCUAUGUGGCCCGGGGUUCGAUUCCCGGCGUGGGAG